UCUUGACUCAGGUUCCAACCUUUACCCAGA
rnacentral:piRNA from 1 species